rnacentral:rRNA from 1 species
GGGCUGCGCAUGCGGGGAUCUGACGCAGCGACGCCGCGUGAGCGAAGAAGGCCUUCGGGUCGUAAAGCUCUGUCUUUGGGGAAGAAGAAAGUGACGGUACCCAAGGAGGAAGCCCCGGCUAACUACGUGCCAGCAGCCGCGGUAACACGUAGGGGGCGAGCGUUGUCCGGAAUUACUGGGCGUAAAGGGUGCGUAGGCGGCCUGAUAAGUCAAGUGUGAAAUACCCGGGCUCAACCUGGGUGGUGCACGUGAAACUGUCGGGCUUGAGUGCAGGAGAGGGAAGUGGAAUUCCUAGUGUAGCGGUGAAAUGCGUAGAUAUUAGGAGGAACACCAGUGGCGAAGGCGGCUUCCUGGACUGUAACUGACGCUGAGGCACGAAAGCGUGGGGAGCAAACAGGAUUAGACCCCUGGGGUAGUCAA